rnacentral:lncRNA from 1 species
UCCGGCUUCAUUUCUGAACUCCACCGAGUAGCUCCUCGCCUCCAUGUGCUCCUUGAACUCCAAGGUCGUCGGCGUGACGGUCACCUUCACGUGCUCCGGCGCCACGACAGUGACAUUGUACGUCUCCGCCUCCUCAGACACUUUGGUCAGCGUCCGCGUCAGUGUGCGGACGUCGGUGCGGCUGUCGAAGGCCACGACGAACGACGGGUAGUUGAGGCCGGCGGGGCCGCCGGCGAGCGUUCCCGUGCAAUUGACGAAGUCCGGAACGAACCGCCGCAUCUAUUCCGAAGUGUAGCUCAGGGCGCAGAGGAAGUCGACGUAGUCCCGCUCGCCGGCGUCGUAGACGAGGCCCGGGUCCAGCGCGAGGUCCGGCUGGACAUGCCCGGCCCCGGCCACCAGCGGCGUCGCGACCCUUGCGUUGCCGUUGCCGGUGCGGCCCACGGUGACCCCGUUGUCGAGGAUGUCUCCGCCUCUGUUGUCGACCGUCCCGACCGUACCAUGGCCGGCGUCCAGCUUGGGUGCUUCUUCUUGAUCAGUGCUGCGAUGCCAGCGACGUGCGGGCACGCCAUGGACGUCCCGGAGAUGAUGUUGUAGUCAGCUCUCCUCCCGUCGUAGGAAGCUCUAUACGCUACAGGUGCGUCGCCCGACCAGGCCGCAAGAAUGUCCACCCCCGGCGCGACGACUCCGCUUAGUUCAAAAUUAUGUAUUGGGAUCUAUGGAUUAGACUUAGAUUUAGCUAUUUAGGACUAAAGUAUCCAAACAUGAGGGUUAUAAUGGAGUUAUUUGCAUCUAACCCACGUAAAAAACUAUCCCUCCAAGAGGUGCUUAUUUAGGCUAUUUGGGGCUAUUUGAGGUGGGGCCUACAGGGUAAGUGAUCGGCUGUGUCACACGGGAUCUCUACUCGCGAUGCCUCCCAGCCACGACCUCUCCCGGUUACCAGCACUGCCGCCUCCCAGCUCGCCUCGACGCCGCCUCUCAACCGCACCACCACCUCCAAGCCGCGUCGCCGCCUCCCAACCGUGUCGCCGCCUCCCAACAAUGGCAAAACAACCCGCAAAGUACCAUAUGGAGCAAUAGCAAAAUGGUCCGCCGCUAGCAAUGGCAAAACGACAUGCAAGGUACUGUAUGGAGCAAUGUUAUUUGUGAGCGGGAGGAGGCUACACAACAGUCGGCCACACCAAAUCUAGCUAGGAAGGAGCCAAAUGAAUGAAAAAAUACAUUUAUUGUCAAUCUAACCCUUACACACAAACACCUCUUUAGUUAGAGUUAGUUGAGGACUAAUCAUGAGCUAGAGAAUAACUCUAGCGGAGCCAUUGAAUGCAAGAUAUUUUUGUUAGGCGUACCAAGGUUCAAAUCCUACACUGGCACUAAGUUCGAUUUGUGAUGCAUGUGUUCUAGCACUCGUAAUAUGUGAUCAGAUUUGCGUCAUCAGUAACUUUAUGAUCCUGUGGUUUCCAAUUAAGUACUCUCCUAGAAGAGAAUUGCUUGUCGAUACAAUUGUAGUGUGGCCAUCGAAGAUUCAAAGUUGACUCCAAUAUACAUGCAUAAAAAAGGAACCUUGACAUAUCAUUUCAGACAAUCACAUCAUGCCAAUUAUCACUCGCUUAGGCCUUAAUUAGCUGGCUUAAAGGACCAAAGAGAGAGUUCCCCUCCCAGGGUACUCUGGCGCACCACCGCCGUGUACCUGGCAUCCUUGCCAUCGCGGUCCGAUGCGUCGAUGAUGAGGUGAUACAAAUAGCCUAGUGAAACAUAGACCUCACCACUCACCAAUUUGUUGAACUUGAGCCCGUCGUUGGCCAGCAUGACGUGCUCCGUCACCGCCCACCUGGCAAUCUUUUGGUAUACUGGAUCAUUGACGUUUAUGGGAGUUGUCUCUGCCAUGGUGGACGUUGCGAAAGCGUGAAUAGCUGCAACAACAACAACAAAUAGGAGACCGGUUCUCAUGGUUGAGCUUGCCAUGAUUUUGUGGUGGAUUUGCAAGUUUGUGAUGAGAUGAUGUAGAGAUAUGUCUGAGGAGAAUUUGGGGGCAUUUAAAUAUAGCGCUUGGCCUGGGCGCAUUGACACCACCAGGCUAGAAAUCAAUGGAGAGCUGCACAUGCUAAUUAGUAGAAAUACCUUGUAAAUGGAAAGGAUUGAUUGGCUGCUAAACAAGUCAGCUCCUGAUAUAUAAAAUACCUUGUAAAUUAGUAGAAAUUGAUUUAUAUGAGCUUUGCAAUCGAUUUUCUUCGAAGAAGUGAUACCGCAAAAGGAAUAUAAUUAAUAAAUUUAAUGUCAUUAGCUGAGAUCUAACAUCUAUUAUCUUAGAUUUAGCUCCUGCUAUAUAAAAUACUAAUAUCUAUUAAUAGAAAGGAUUGAUUUGAUGAUUAAUAAAUUAGCUCCCGCUAUAUAAAAUACUAAUAUCUAUUAGUAGAAUUUGGUAGAAUUUGAUUUAUAUGAUCAAUUUGCUUAAAAGCAGUGAUACUGACAAAAGAAUAUAAUUAAUAAAUUUGAUGUCAUUAACUGAGAGCUAACAUCUAUUAUCUUAGCAUUUAGCCAACAACAUAAUUUUCCAUAUUAAUUCUCAAGGCCUGUAGAUUAAUUAAAAAUACCCCUCUGCAUACUCAUAAAUUACUCAUAUAUGCCAUUGCCCAAAAGUAAACACAAAAGUACCACCAUAUCUAUUUCAUUAUUACCAACACAUACCAUUAUCAAGAAAAUAGCUUUUUGUGUUAACUAAGUGAUUAAUUCUCGUCUUGAAUGAAAGAAGAUCCAAAGUUGCAAUUCAAACUAUAUUUUCAUUCAAAACUAUAAAGUAAAUAUAGUACAACUAAAAAGUCCAAAUUAUUCCCUCCGAGUUUAUCCUGCGUACAAAUAACCUUCAAACUGAUAUUUGGUUCAAUUUACUACCCCAAAUUAUGUGUUGGUAAUUUGGCCCUGAUGUACUCCGCCUUGACUUGCAGCUUGGCAAACUGCUCCAGCUGCAUCAUCCACAAAACAGUAUCAAUGUGCUAUAUGACGGCAGGCAAGCCCAGCUCCAAGCUAACAAGCGCCAUUCGGUGAAGUAGAGACCAAGCAAGCACCAGAGCCGGCCCUAUUGGGGGGGGGGGGGGGGGGGGGGGGGGGGGGGGGGGCCGGCAGGUGCGCCGGCCAUGGGCCCUAUCUCUAUUCUCUGUACUACAGAUAAUGAGUGGCCGCAACGCCUAUGGCAGAGAGUCGGAGACACGGACUCGCGGUGUCUCGCCAAAUUCCCAAUCGACGGCGCUGCGCGCAGACGUAGGCACGCACCACGCAGCCAUUGCUCUGGCCGCAGACCUGCAGUCAUUGAGGCCUCAAGGGACUUCAAGCAAAUCAGCCAACCAGGCAAUCACCAAUCAGAUCUUUAUUGAAUAUUCAUGUCAAAUUUUAUAUGCCCUAGGUUUUUUUCCUUGUUCAAUUUUUGUCUAUUACUUUGCACAUGUACUCAUGUAGUCAUAUUUUUAUUUUAAUUUAGGUCAAGUGUUAGAAUUUGAGAAUGUUACCUAAAAACAUGAGUCGGGGGCUGCGAAAAGAAAACGGAAGAAACAAGAAGAACAGUUCCGGCAGUCACAACAAGGUGCUUUAGAUAAGUUUUUUUCAGUUUUAAGUAGCGUUGUGCCUGAGCGUGAUGAGAACCUUAUAGAUGCACUUGAGAAUCAAGAAGAGACUAUGUCACAAGAAAGGUUAAAUGGUUUGGCUAUGUGCACCAUCGAGAGGGAUAUCUUGGACACUAUUGAUCUUAAUACCGUUUUCGAUGAUUUUGCAUCAAGAAAUGCCUGAAGAAGUAUAUUUGUAUAAGAAACAAUGAAUAUGACGGAAUUCUGUUUUUUCUCAAGGUAAUCAUAUUAGUUCUAAAAGUACAAAUAUAUUGCUUUUUAAUCUACAUUGUUUCUCGCUAUUGAUAAUUAUCAGACAUAUUUAAUUUUAAAUAUAUUAUUAUAUUGGUUUUCCUUUACAAAUAAAAUUAGUCUAUAUAUUAUAGACUAGAGAGGCCGUCUACGAGCUCGCCAGAGGGCCCUCGAAAUCCUAAGGCCGGCGCUGGCAAGCACUCAUGGCCAUGAAUAGAAACAGUGCUCCUGGGCCUAACGGUUUUGGCCCAGGUUUCUACAGGGCUGCUUGGCCUACAGGCUACGGUAAAGCAACAAAUCAUGAACUUCAUGAAUGCUUUUCACCAAGAAUCAGUUCAGCUUGAGCGCCUAAACAGAUCCUACAGGGUACUUCUUCCAAAGAAGCCCGGAGCAGUGGCAGUUAAUUCUUUUAGGCCUAUAUGAUUGCAAAACUAAAGUCUAAAAAUCCUUGCAAAAGUGUUAACAGGGAGGUUGCAGCGUGAAAUCCUGGUUUUGAUUGAUCUAAACCAAACCGGUUUCAUCAAAGCGCACUUGAUUGCAGAGACUUUCAUCCAUGCAACUGAGCUAGUCCAGAUAUGGCACAAAAAGGAAGUUGCCGGCUUUGGUACUUAAACUGGAUUUUGCAAAGGCCUUCGAUACAGUAAACUGGGAAGGACUUUUCAGGGUGCUCAGAGCACGCGGUUUCCAGGAACGUUGAAUCAGCUGGAUGCAUAUGAUUCUAUCUUCUUCCAAGUCAGCUGUUCUAGUCAAUGGAAACCCAGGACCAUGGAUAACCUGCAAGCAUGGUCUACGCCAAGGUAUGUUCUGAUUAUCUCAUUAUCAGAAAUAACUUCCCUACCCCUGUCACCAUACCUGGUAUAUGUAUCAAUGAUGAAACCAGUUGCUUACAAAUAUGUUCUGAUUAUCAGAAAUAACAUACGUGAUAGUACAGGAAACCACUCCAGGUAGUUACAAUGGAAUAUGAUCCUGUAAAAAAAUCUGGAAUGGAUUCACAUACAAGCUAUAUAUGCACUGUUCUGAAUGAUUUGACCAACAUUAGUCUUUUUUAUCCUACUAUAUGCAACUUUUGAUCCACGCUCUACUCGUUGCAUACUUGCAUACAGUCAACGAAACACCCAAGGUAAGGAUGGCCCGAUGCUGCUUUGUGCCAUAUGUUGAAGGAAUUUUGGGUUUUUAACAGUUCCGCAAGCUGUCUCUGAUGGCUGCAAUCCCAAAAGUUAAUAGAUAAUUUUUUUAACAGCAUCGAGUUUUAACAUCUAUAUAGGUCUCACAGUGACAGCAGGUCGCAAACCAGCAUGUGGAAUUACUGAUUACCCCAUAAACAAUCAACUCAUCACUCAUCAACAUAUAUAUGGCAGUUAAAGUAAGAUAUAGUUCAACAUAUAGCUUAUUCAGUUAUUCUUGUGCAAUCUUCUACAAUAAUAAUAAUCCUACUGAAAGUCGUCAGUUCUUCCACUGGAACGCCACCGGGCUCCUGACUUGAUGCUUCCCGCUCGCCCAGCUGAUCUGCCCGAAGUCCCACUCCCCUGCCUCCCGAUUCCCACCGGCUUCAUUUCUGAACUCCACCGUGUAGCUCCUCGCUUCCAUGUGCUCCUUGAACUCCAAGGUCGUCGGCGAGACGGUCACCUUCACGUGCUCCGGCGCCAGGACAGUGACAUUGUACGUCUCCGCCUCCUCGGACACCUUGGUCAGCGUCCGCAUCAGUGUGCGGACGUCGGUGCGGCUGUCGAAGGCCACGACGAACGACGGGUAGUUGAGGCCGGCGGGGCCGCCGGCGAGCGUUCCCGUGCAAUUGACGAAGUCCGGAACGAACCGCCGCAUCUGUUCCGCCGUGUAGUUCAGGGCGCACAGGAAGUCGACGUAGUCGCGCUCUCUGGCGUCGUAGACGAGCCCCGGGUCCAGCGCGAGGUCCGGCUGGACGUGCCCGGCCCCGGCCACCAGCGGCGUCGCGAUCCUUGCGUUGCCGUUGCCGGUGCGGCCCACGGUGACCCCG